UACGUAGGGGGCAAGCGUUGUCCGGAAUUACUGGGCGUAAAGCGUGCGUAGGUGGUUCGUUAAGUCUGUCGUGAAAGCCCCGGGCUCAACCUGGGAAUGGCGAUGGAUACUGGCGGGCUAGAGUGCGGUAGAGGAGAGUGGAAUUCCCGGUGUAGCAGUGAAAUGCGUAGAGAUCGGGAGGAACAUCAGUUGCGAAGGCGGCUCUCUGGACCAGCACUGACACUGAGGCACGAAAGCGUGGGGAGCAAACAGG
rnacentral:rRNA from 1 species